UUGACCUCGGAUCAGGUAGGGAUACCCGCUGAACUUAAGCAUAUCAAUAAGCGGAGGAAAAGAAACCAACCGGGAUUGCCUCAGUAACGGCGAGUGAAGCGGCAAGAGCUCAAAUUUGAAAGCUGGCUCCUUCGGGGUCCGCAUUGUAAUUUGCAGAGGAUGCUUCGGGUGCGGCCCCUGUCUAAGUGCCCUGGAACGGGCCGUCAGAGAGGGUGAGAAUCCCGUCUGGGAUGGGGUGUCCGCGCCCGUGUGAAGCUCCUUCGACGAGUCGAGUUGUUUGGGAAUGCAGCUCUAAAUGGGUGGUAAAUUUCAUCUAAAGCUAAAUACUGGCCGGAGACCGAUAGCGCACAAGUAGAGUGAUCGAAAGAUGAAAAGCACUUUGAAAAGAGAGUUAAAAAGCACGUGAAAUUGUUGAAAGGGAAGCGCUUGCGACCAGACUCGCCUCCAGGGUUCAGCCGGCAUUCGUGCCGGUGUACUUCCCUGGGGGCGGGCCAGCGUCGGUUUGGGCGGCCGGUCAAAGGCUCCCGGAAUGUAGUGCCCUCCGGGGCACCUUAUAGCCGGGAGUGCAAUGCGGCCAGCCUGGACCGAGGAACG
rnacentral:rRNA from 1 species